rnacentral:siRNA from 1 species
UAAAAUUGAUACGUAAUAAUUGC